rnacentral:rRNA from 1 species
CACGGAGGGUGCAAGCGUUAUUCGGAAUCACUGGGCGUAAAGCGCGCGUAGGCGGUCUCUUAAGUCAGAUGUGAAAGCCCGGGGCUUAACCCCGGAAGUGCAUUUGAAACUAAGAGACUUGAGUAUGGGAGAGGGAAGUGGAAUUCCUGGUGUAGCGGUGAAAUGCGUAGAGAUCAGGAGGAACACCGGUGGCGAUGGCGACUUCCUGGACCAAUACUGACGAUGAGGCGCGAAGGCGUGGGGAGCAAACAGG